GGGAUUUUUCCUGGCUGUAGGAUUGUUGCUUCUUCUCUUGUAGGCAGAAGCCCAGUUGCACAGCACAUACAGGGUGCUCACUGGGAAACCUAAAGCCACUUGUGUCCUAGUGAUUCUCUGGGAAGAGGAACAAACCAAGGACUGCCUGUCUUCUGUGCAUUCCUGAUCAGGCCUGCAAGAAGGCAGCUAUAACUGAUACAACACAUAAAGGAGAAGCAGGAUGCCUAAAGGAUGUUGUGGAAGUCAGGCUGGGACUGCGAAUCUGCUGGCCUUUUUCCACUGGACACAACAGUAGCCAAGAUGCUAGACCCCUUGGCAUGACACACAGCCAUGGCCUCAGCCCUUACCCAAGGUCACAAGGUGGGCCGGUUCCCUAUGGUGGGCUCUGCACUCACAGCUCUGCAGCCCAGUGUACCAACAGCGCUCAGCUCCCAUGGCGGUGAGAGGCGUUAGCUAAUUAAACCUUCCCUCAUCUGUGGGAGAGAGAGAAAACCACAAUGGAGAAGUGAGCAAAGGGUGCUGUGUUCCUCUAAAAGCAGCCAAGGGCCCUCUCGGAUGGUUUCAGGCUUUGAAG
ensembl:lncRNA